AGAGUUUGAUCCUGGCUCAGAUUGAACGCUGGCGGCAUGCUUUACACAUGCAAGUCGAACGGCAGCACGGGGGCAACCCUGGUGGCGAGUGGCGAACGGGUGAGUAAUACAUCGGAACGUAUCCUUGAGUGGGGGAUAACGCAGCGAAAGUUGUGCUAAUACCGCAUGAGCUCUGAGGAGGAAAGUGGGGGACCGUAAGGCCUCACGCUGAAGGGGCGGCCGAUGUCCGAUUAGCUAGUUGGUGAGGUAAAGGCUCACCAAGGCUUCGAUCGGUAGCUGGUCUGAGAGGAUGAUCAGCCACACUGGGACUGAGACACGGCUCAGACUCCUACGGGAGGCAGCAGUGGGGAAUUUUGGACAAUGGGGGCAACCCUGAUCCAGCCAUGCCGCGUGAGUGAAGAAGGCCUUCGGGUUGUAAAGCUCUUUCGUGAGGGAAGAAACGGCCAUAGUGAAUAGCUGUGGUUACUGACGGUACCUCAAGAAGAAGCACCGGCUAACUACGUGCCAGCCGCCGCGGU
rnacentral:rRNA from 1 species